rnacentral:rRNA from 1 species
UACAGAGGGGGCUAGCGUUGUUCGGAAUUACUGGGCGUAAAGGGCGCGUAGGCGGCCCGCUAAGUCGAACGUGAAAUCCCCGGGCUCAACCCGGGAACUGCGUCCGAUACUGGCAGGCUUGAAUCCGGGAGAGGGAUGUGGAAUUCCAGGUGUAGCGGUGAAAUGCGUAGAUAUCUGGAGGAACACCGGUGGCGAAGGCGGCGUCCUGGACCGGUAUUGACGCUGAGGCGCGAAAGCCAGGGGAGCAAACGGG